rnacentral:miRNA from 1 species
GCAGACACAUUCCAGCCAAUCAGCAGCAGACCCUCCCUCCCAGACCCUCCCACCUCCUGGACAGCAUCAUUUUACAUUCAUUGUGAAGCUGCAUUCUUAGUGAGCUGUCCAGGAGGUGGGAGGGUCUGGGAGGGAGGGUCUGCUGCUGAUUGGCUGGAAUGUGUCUG